UUCUUUGCAGCUUUAGGAGAGAUAUGAAGUACAAGUACUGGAAAAUACCCUGGGAGGAAAAUCUGAGAUGAAAUACCACAUAAAUCCCCAAUGGAGCUCAAAUGUGGAGCACGGUAAAGGCCAGAAGACUUUAGUGGAAGGUUCAAACACAAAGAACCAGAUCUAUCCACUUAGGGGGGAGUCAGACUGGAAAAAUGAGUUGGUCAGGAUGAAGUCCAGAACCUCGUGUUUGGUCUCUAAUCAGACUGCAGUCAAGUGGACAUUUCUGUUUCAAAGUAAAGCCUGUGAACAAAACCACAUGACUAAAGAUCUCUUCAGUCAUUGGCCAGGAAUUAUGAGGGCGGAGCAAAAACAAUAGUGGAAGUCUUAGGUUGUGUCCAAAUCCCCCCAAUCACUAUAUGGUGUGUUCACCAUUUUCUAGUGCUGUCCAAAUCUACUAAUUCUAAAAUCGAGUGUGCUCGAAAUUUCCCAGAAGUCUUUGCAAAAAACUAGCAUACAUCUAUAUGUAACAGGUGUUUAGUUAAGUUUAAUUAAUUCCACCAAAUUUGAGGUAAACAUUUUUUUUAACAUUUCUAUCCGGGUGUUAGUCUGUCCGAGGGUAUUUGAACUCACCACGGUGACGCAGAAGACAGUGCUGCACAUGCGCACUCGGACUACUGCGGACUGGCUGAGGAAAGACUUCUGUCAAUGACCAGACCCAACAAGGUAGCUUUUAGGAGAACGUCACAGCAACCAGCACGUAACGAGACACAGAAAAGCAUCUGCUGGACCGUCACAAACAUUCCCACUAAAGCAGUUCAGUGGAAACUUCCAUCAGGGAGGAGACGUAUCUUUUUAGGCAGCUCUCACCAUUUUCCCAAAACAGUUUGGUAACUCCAGGCCUCCACAGUUUUCCAACCCCCCCCUCCUCUGAAAACAGCCGACAAAGGUCAUCAGAAAAGCAGUUUAUCUGGAAAACAGGCGGGGAAAAAAGCCCUGGAGGUUUGGGGUUCCCACCCUGAUCUGGAUUACACCGAAGCCCUUUGAUCUAAUUCUGCUCGACAUUUCUAUAAGAUGUUGUUAUUAUGGAGCCGUUUAUACAUAUUGGAAUCUUAUGGACUGGAUCAUGAUGAUUGGAAGACUGGGAUUAAUAAAAACUGAUUUGAUCUCUUCGUCUUUUUUGGCUCUUCAUAAAUAAACUAAAUUAAUGUAAAAAUGAAGCAAAUAACUAAACUUUCUUUCAAAAAAGACUUUUAAAUCUUUUUAAAUGGUCUAGACAGAUGUUUAUCUCCUGUUUACAUUCUAUAUCUAUAAAAGUAUAUUUAGUUUAUUAUUACGAAGCACUUUGUGAUCUCAAACUGUUUAAAUCAAAUCAUUUUAACAUUUUUUCAUCAUUUUGAGUCUAUUAAUGGUCACAGUCCAGUCAAACUAAAAGUUUCAGAUUUUAUAUGAGUUUUAUCUUAACAGCUCGACUUCAGUCCUGUGAAACAACUGAUAAAAAUGCAAAAUUUUAUUAAUGAGUUAUUUUUUAAAGGAAUUUCAGGAGAAAACUUAUUUUUUUAGCUGUCUUUAUCUGUCUUUUCUUUAUCAAUUUUCUGAAAUGAAGCCCUUUAAAUUCUAAUCAUCCUUUAAAACAGUGCUUUGUAAUAUUGUACAUUUAUUUAGGGGAAAAAAGUUGUUUAUUUCUUGUUUUUACAGAACAGUAAAAGAUGAAUCUUCUUACUUUUAAAAUUACCUAUUUUUUUAUUUUUGAGAAAAUAUAUAUAUUUUUUAGUUAAUUCUUUUUAACUUCAUUUAGUUAUUUUAUGCGUUUUCAGCUCCAGAUUCUGACCUGCAGUGGCGGCGCCUCCUCCUUUGCUCUUCUUCUUCUUCUUCCCGUCUUUGCUCUUGCUCUUGGUCAGCUGCAGGAACCCUUUGGAGAUCUGGUUGUUGGUGUCGCUGCCCUUCAUGCUGGAGGAGGUGAAGGGGUUGAGCCCCUUCCCUUUGGGUUUGGACCUCUGCGGCAGCAUCCUCGGCAGCGAGGUGGAGGAGCACGGGGAGAGCUCCGGCAGGUCCAGCUCCAGAGACUGGGAGCUGCCGCGGAACUGGAACUCGUCGGAUGUUGUGGAGGGCGUCCUCUGGAGGAACAAGGAGAGCAUUAGAGGCUCCACCGAAGACAGGAAGUGACGCCUUCUGACUGGUGACUGCACAGAUUUGAUUUCAGUGAAUUCUUGUGACCAAACAAAGGAUUUUAACCCCAAACUUCACAAGAGUUAGUGCCACAUGGGGCAGAAACAGGCGUCUGCACAGUCGGAGAGCUUCUUUCAAAGCCUUUUUUGGGUUCUCUGAAAGUCUCUAGAAGUCCCUGCAUGACAGCAUCUCCUGGCAGAGGAGUUACAUCUUUUAGGGAUUCAAUUUUCUGUUUUUGACAAAUAGCACAUCUUUUUAAAAUUCUUCUCCUUGUUCAAUAAUACAGCUGCUACAGCAGGAUGGGAAGGUACGGCAGAAUCUUCAAGACUUCAUGCCAACACCUGAUUUUUAUGAGAAUCAUUGGUGUGAUCAUGAAUGUAGACGGCGGCAGCAGCUCUGUAAAUGUGUCAGAAAGAAGGACGUCCGUCUCAAAUGCCACCAGGCGCCCAAUAACCUGCAGGUCAGGGAUGUAACGAUUCAGUCACGCCACGAUUUGAUUCACAGUUUAAAGUCACAAUUUUUGUUUUUUUUCCCUCAAAAAAAUGAAUUAAACAUAUUUUAAGAUCAAGUAUGUUUUCUUUUGGCUCCUUACAGCAAACUGUCUGUUUUCUAAACAGAAAAUGAUUCAAUACAAAUAAAUAAUUAUACAUCAUAUUGAAAUUAUCCCACCAAAAAAAUCAUCCGAUCGUCAGACGAUUUCAGAAAGCCUUACAGAUCUUCCAAUCAAUUAUUUCCUCCAAAUGUUCCACUGGCCGAUGUCAAAAAAUGAUCCGUCAUAAUAACAUUUGAACUUUUUCUUAAAACCUCUGUGGCCACCUGCUGAAUUUGUUAAAAUAACUUGCAUUUACGUUGCUGCGCAGUGGCUGUGACUGCAGUCUUAAAGACCAACUCAGAAGAUUUUUUUUUUUUGGUAGUAAAAUGAAAUCAUCAAAAAGGUUAAAAAUCUCAAGAAACGUUUAGUCAGAAAGUUUUGUGUCCAAUGAAAAUCGUCUUUUUGGUGUUUUUAAUGUGUUCUUGUAGCAUUUUUCUCAUAGAGGACAGAUAUAAAAGAAUUUAUAAUUCAAACUGCGUUUUUCUGUAUUUUUUCAUUCAAAUUGCGUUGGAUCAGAAAACCAGAUGCUAGAAAAUGCUCAACCUAAGGAUGCAGAUACUGAGAGGGCCGUGCCAAAGUCUUCCAUUUCUCCUCUAACACUGAAGCCUCCACUUGUAAACAAAUAGAACUAAUGGCGUCCUAAUUUUACUCAAACUGUACUGCUGGAUCACUAUGAUCACUCGCCAUUUUUGUUUCUCCAGUGAUGUUCGGCUGGAGUUGUGAGGGGCUGUAAGCUAGCAUGUAAAAGAAGGGAUGAUGGGUAAUGUCAUGAUUUUGUGGACCUUGGAGAUCCUCCUAUCAGUCCGUUAUCGCGCUGCAGCCUUCCGGCCACAGCAGGACCUCCAAAUUUGUCAAAUAAAUCGCCCGGUUGCCAUAAAAUUAUAAAUUUUUCUUAAAAUGUCCGCAGCCACCUGCAGAAUUUGCUGAAAAAUAUAUUUUGGUCUCUGGUCUGCAGCAUUUCUUAGUCUUCUUUUUUCAAGAAAAAAUAAUUUUUGGCUCCUGAUUCAUAAUUCCUGGUAUUUUAAGUUUAACAAACAGACAAAUAUGUGAUUUGACUUUGUUUUAAUACAUAAAUACAUAAAACUCCAGAUAACAUUUUAGUAAACAAAAAUAUGAAGAAAAAAACAGAUUUUCUAACCCCUCUCUUCAGCCUGCCGCAGUGCCGCUGAGCAGAGCGGGCUCAUCCAGGCUUCUAAACCCUCGGCGCUCACCUCAGACAGUCGGUCCUCCAUCUUCUCCAGCUGCCGCCGCACGGCGUCCUUGUCCCUCUCCAGCUUCCUCUGGGCGUCUCUCAGCCGCUCCAGGUCUUUCUGGUACUCCUCUUUCCGGAGCUGCAGCUCCUGCCUCUCGGCCUCCAGCGCCUUGUGCUGCUUCUGCACCUCCUCCUCCUGCAGUGGGUGGAAGAUGCAUCCAUCGAUUUAUUGAAAUGACUCAGAAGAAACAUCGCUGAUAAGUUGGUCCUCUGAAGGAAUUUUGAGUCAAAACUAAAAGUUCUUCUGAAGUUCUGCAGUUCCGCCUUAACGCCGGUGUUGACUGCAGGAAAAAAGAAAGCUGGAAGUCUAAAUAAUUCAGUCUUCUCGAGUGUCUGUUUAAAUAAAUAUUAGAUUUAAGGAACUUGUCGAGUAUUUCCAGAUUCUUGAGUUUUAAAUUUUGCAUUCAGAGAAGUUUUUCCUGCACAACUUUGACUCUUCAUCUCUGAUAACUUCUCCCUUUGCAGACUCGGACUGAGCUGAAGUGCAGCUGAAGCGCCUUUGUUUUCUUCAGGUCGGCAGCAGCACAGCAGGUCACUGCAGACCAGCCAGUGAUUCUACUAAAGUCCUUCUAAUUCUCAGUCCAAGGACAUUCUAAUUCGUGCUCGGAGAGGAAACACGAGGCCACAUGUUGGAGACGAGUGGGAGAAACCUUGACAGAAGACGAGUGGACAUCCAUGUGAAGCUAACACUUCCUUUGGGGAUUUUAUCGGGUUUUUAGGAACAAAAUAUCCACAGAGCAGUGGAGCAGAAUCUGGGCUGUAAAAUCAUGACUGACUAACAUCACAUUUUUAGCUGUUCUCACCGGGAAGAUUUAUCUGAAGGAAGAAAAUCUGCUUUGAAAUCAUUUUUUUUUUUUAAUAUUCCUAUAAACCAGCAAGAAAUCAGGAAACGGUUUGAGAGGAUGAACCGUGAAAACUGUCAGAACUCUUCCUGAUUGAUAAAAUCACAUAUUAGAUUCUGUCCGGUGAAAAUUAAACCAGAAGUGGAGCUUAACAGUGUUCCAAACAUGUAAAUUAGGCAGAUUAAAGUCAAGUUUAAGAGGAUUCAGAUUGGAAAAGUCAGUUGUCCAGAUCAAGUCCUGAACAUAAAAAGACGGCCAGAGAGCGGUUACUGGGUCCGCUUGAGUGUAUUCAGAAUGAAAAUUGGUUCCGGAUUAUUGGAGGAAACGAACUACGGUUCACUUUAAGUGAACUAAAUGUGUCCGGUCUGAAAACACAAUUUGGUUCCUUGAUAGAACAACCUACCUGCCAAUCAAAUCAAUCAAACUGCAAAUUUGAGCUCUACUCAACUAAAUUAAUGCUAUAAAAAGAAAAUUUAGUUGAUUUUUCUGUAAUUAAUCAAUCACUAUUGGCACGGUGAUGAUACACUCGUGUUUACUUUUAAUUUUAUUUUUUCUGUUGUGAAAGCUAUUCAAGUUAUAAACCAGAUGCCUCAAACAAAGUGGGCGGUGCCUACUUUGAUUGAUAGAUUCUCCUGAACCUGCUUUCAAGAGUUAGGGGUGUAAACUUCUAACAAGGUCACUCCUGAUUGGCUAGAGUAGUUGCCAUAAAAAGAAACCAAAUUGGGAUGACCGCUCCCCACUGAUGUUGUCUGGUGGUGUCCAUAUCACAAAAAAUGGCCACUGAAUUGACUUUUUAUUUUGUUUGUUUUUGAUCAUUUUGUAUGGGUGAUGUCACAUUCACUCAGUCCAGUUUUUAGAUACAGUCAAUGGUUUCCAUCCCUCAUUUACCUGGCUAUUCUGUAAUAAAUAUUUAUACACAGAUAUACAUAUAUAUAUAUAUAUAUAUAUAUAUAUAUGCUCAGUGGGCUAGGUGAAGGGCUGACACGCAGGAGCCCUGGGUUCGAUUCCCAGGGUUGUCCACUGAUCUCCACCCAGUUUGGGUCCUUAGGCAAGACCCUUGACUUUGCUGCCUAACUGGGUCCCUGUGCCCCUCAAGUACAGGGUUGUGUCAUCCGGCGUAAAAAUUCUGCCAAAUCUCUGAUGCGAAACAGUGGGUGCUGUUACGCUGUGGCGACCCUGAAAGGGAUAAGCCGAAAGUGAAAGAAGAAAAAGAAGAAGAUAUGCGUGUGUGUGUAUAAAAAACUGUGUUUAACUUUUGUGGUUCUGACAGUUUGUAAUAAUCUACAGCAGUGAGAGGAGUUUGUCUUGUAACAUAAAUUCAGUUCUGACCUUAUUUGAGUUCUGUUACAGAAAAUGAAAUAUUUACAUGUACUAGCAGUUACAAAUAAGAAAAUAAUCAAGAUUUUAAUGUUUUAUUUAGAUGCAAAAAUUAGCUAAAUUCCGUCUCCACCCGUAGCUACUAUUACAUAAACGCUACUAUUUAUCUAGUUUUUUUUUAAUAAAAAAUUUUCACAUCCACAACAAAUUGUUAAAGGUGUUGCAAAAAAAAAAGCCAGAAAAGAGGAAAGGUUUUGAAUUUAAAGUGAUAAUAAUGAUUUUGAGUCAUUUUAAAAAGAUUUUCAAUCAAAGUUUGGAUGUUUGAAUCACAAAAACUCAAAGCUGCUGACCAACACGUUCAUGAAGAAACAGAGCGAUGAUCUGCAGUCACCUGUAAGUGCACCAGCACCUCCUUCUCAGAGAGCUGCUGCUCCCGGACCUCCCACUCCCUCUCCUUCCUCCUCUUCUCCUCGGCGUGAGCUGCCUGUUGUCUCUGCAGGGAGGCCAGCUCCUGCCGCUGCUUCUCCAGGCUGCGCUGCUUCUCCUGCUCCACCAGCGAGCUGGGCCGCGACGACUGCCGGGACAGGGAGGAGCAGGAGGAGGAGCGCUCGCUCAGGGCGUGCCGCUGCUCCUCGAUGAAACUGUCCUGCUGGACCACCACGGCCUGGGGGGGCGGAGACACGGAGAGAGAAGGGUUACGCCCACAAACGCUCUGAACAGAUGUGUGAGGAGGCUGUCGUACCUGCAGGGAGCUGAGCAGGAGGUGCAGGUUGGAGACGCUGUGGAGGAACUGCUGUGGGAGAGAAGACGACAGCGUGUCACACGAGUGCAGAAACCUCCUUCAGAGUCCCUGCUGGUUCAUCCAUUCCAAACUCGGGUUCAUGAAUGUGACAUCCUCUCCUCUCAAAGGAGGAGUCCAGAAACCCGACCUUUUCUGUGUUUACGCCGCUCCCACAGACGGCGGUUACACAACGGCGUGUCUGGAAGCGGCGCCGUGAAUUCACUCAGAUUACACGGCCUGUCAGACCCAGAGAGAGCCGCUCACACAGUAACAGAUCUUUGAAGGACUCCUCCCGGCUCUCCUCAGAUUCAGGAGGUGCCCUGUGCUUUACUUUUUUUUUUACAGGAGUUUUGCUGCGAUGUUGAGUCUGGGUUUUGGCCGUUUCCAUGCCGACAGCGACCCUAAUGGUCAAGCAGCUGCACACAUGCAGGAGAAGAGGCUACAGAGGAGAGCGUCCAGCACUAAGAGGAGGACGUGGCUCCACCACAAGUAGAGAAUCUCAUCUUAAUACAGGAUGGCGAAAAACGGUACUGACCUUCUU